rnacentral:misc_RNA from 1 species
GAUACCCAUUUUAAAAAUACAAAAGACUAAAUCUUUAAUAAAACAAAGUCUCAUAGAGCCUAAAAUAAAACACAAAACACAGGGACUAGGAAUAUAUUGUUUUUGUUUUCAUAUUGAAAACAGAGUUAGGACAUUUUGGUCAGGACAAAAUUGCUCGAUUUUGUAAUUUUAAGCAAAACUCAGAACUAAAUUGUGUUUACCCAAAAAAAAAAUUAAAAAGAAAA